rnacentral:rRNA from 1 species
GUCAUAUGCUGGUCUCAAAGAUUAAGCCAUGCAUGUCUAAGUACAAGCCAAAUUAAGUGAAACCGCGAAAGGCUCAUUAAAUCAGUUAUGGUUCCUUAGAUCGUACCCACAUUUACUUGGAUAACUGUGGUAAUUCUAGAGCUAAUACAUGCAAACAGAGCUCUGACCGGAGACGGAAGGAGUGCUUUUAUUCGAUCAAAACCAAUCGGCGGCAGGUCAUGUCUUUUUCACAAGGUAUGUUCUCUGUUCGUCGACAAUUAUGGUGACUCUGAAUAACUUUAUGCUGAUCGCAUGGUCUUGCACCGGCGACGCAUCUUUCAAAUGUCUGCCUUAUCAACUGUCGAUGGUAGGUUCUGCGCCUACCAUGGUUGUAACGGGUAACGGGGAAUCAGGGUUCGAUUCCGGAGAGGGAGCCUGAGAAACGGCUACCACAUCCAAGGAAGGCAGCAGGCGCGCAAAUUACCCACUCCCGGCACGGGGAGGUAGUGACGAAAAAUAACGAUACGGGACUCAUCCGAGGCCCCGUAAUCGGAAUGAGUACACUUUAAAUCCUUUAACGAGGAUCAAUUGGAGGGCAAGUCUGGUGCCAGCAGCCGCGGUAAUUCCAGCUCCAAUAGCGUAUAUUAAAGUUGUUGCGGUUAAAAAGCUCGUAGUUGAAUUUGUGUCCCGCACUGUCGGUUCACUGCUCGCAGUGCUAACUGGCACGUUUUGUGGGACGUCCUGCCGGUGGAUACUGCAUCUGCUUUACAUGUUAUAUACCAUUUUCAUUAUUCUUUAAUGAAUAUGUAAUGUGUUUUAAUAUGUAAUGUUUCAGUUUGUUUGUAUCCGACUUGUUUGAAUCCUGUCGCGGUGCUCUUAAUUGAGUGUCGAGGCGGGCCGGCACGUUUACUUUGAACAAAUUAGAGUGCUCAAAGCAGGCUAAAACUUUUGCCUGAAUAUUGUGUGCAUGGAAUAAUGGAAUAGGACCUCGGUUCUAUUUUGUUGGUUUUUCGGACCCGAGGUAAUGAUUAAUAGGGACAGGUGGGGGCAUUCGUAUUGCGACGUUAGAGGUGAAAUUCUUGGAUCGUCGCAAGACGGACAUAAGCGAAAGCAUUUGCCAAAAAUGUUUUCAUUAAUCAAGAACGAAAGUCAGAGGUUCGAAGGCGAUCAGAUACCGCCCUAGUUCUGACCAUAAACGAUGCCAGCUAGCGAUCCGCCGACGUUCCUCCGAUGACUCGGCGGGUAGCUUCCGGGAAACCAAAGCUUUUGGGUUCCGGGGGAAGUAUGGUUGCAAAGCUGAAACUUAAAGGAAUUGACGGAAGGGCACCACCAGGAGUGGAGCCUGCGGCUUAAUUUGACUCAACACGGGAAACCUCACCAGGCCCGGACACUGGAAGGAUUGACAGAUUGAGAGCUCUUUCUUGAUUCAGUGGGUGGUGGUGCAUGGCCGUUCUUAGUUGGUGGAGCGAUUUGUCUGGUUAAUUCCGAUAACGAACGAGACUCUAGCCUGCUAACUAGGCGUACUUUUCCAGUAUCUCGAAGGCUCGUGUCUUUCGCAUCUGUCUGUGUUUGGUUAUGAUGUCGUCACGUUCUUACCUCCAGUUGUUUAUCAUGUGUAUUUUUGUUAUAUCCCAUUUAAUUUUGGGUAUAAUGAUGUGUGUAUGUAAACUUCUGUGUAUGUAUCGUGCGCUCAUUUCCUACCAGCUGUCGGAAGUUCACGGUUUUUACUACUGGCGUACAAUUGAUUCUUCUUAGAGGGACAGGCGGCUCCUAGCCGCACGAGAUUGAGCAAUAACAGGUCUGUGAUGCCCUUAGAUGUUCUGGGCCGCACGCGCGCUACACUGAAGGAAUCAGCGUGUCCUCCCUGGCCGAGCGGUCCGGGUAACCCGCUGAACCUCCUUCGUGCUAGGGAUUGGGGAUUGCAAUUAUUCCCCAUGAACGAGGAAUUCCCAGUAAGCGCGAGUCAUAAGCUCGCGUUGAUUACGUCCCUGCCCUUUGUACACACCGCCCGUCGCUACUACCGAUUGAAUGAUUUAGUGAGGUCUUCAGACCGGCACCCGAUGGUGUUUCGACAUCGUCGAUGUAGUUGGGAAGAUGACCGAACUUGAUUAUUUAGAGGAAGUAA